CCACUUCACAUUAAGCUUACGCGCGCUAUAUGGGGUGUGUCGGGCGACCGACUAUGGCGAUAAAUUGCGGCGUGCAAUAGGCACAACGGACCCGGGGGCAGUACCCGGCGGCUCCACCAGAAGCGGCGGCUCAACCGCAUCUUCUGAAGGGGCCGAACCAGGAUCGACGUGUGUUGAAAAGCGGUGUUUUCGCCCGGGCUGAGUAACCCGUUAAAGGCUCAAAACCCAUAAGUGCCAACGACAACGAAGCACUUGCUCUCGCUGCGUAAUGUGACGGCCUAACGGCCUGAAUUUACAAAGCCUAGAGCGCGGUUGGACCGACCGGUCAACAGAACGGAUACCGGGGGCCCGGGGGAGCCUAGCAACAGAAUCCCCCACC
rnacentral:tmRNA from 1 species